AACGAUACUUUCGUACUAGAGUACCCACACGAGUAAUCAAAUAUUUAAAAGAAGUUCUUUAUAAGUUUUGGUAUGUAAUUUUCUAGUGUUUAUAUCUUUAUGAUAUUUACACCAGUGUCAUAUCUUUUAGAUAUGUACACGUAGAUCACUGCAUUUAAUAGAAGAAAAUUUUAUUAAGUUAUUCUCAAACAAUAACAAAAAAACUUAGUUCGCUUAAAAAGGAGAACUAAGUAUAUAACCCUUUUUUAGGG
rnacentral:misc_RNA from 1 species